rnacentral:lncRNA from 1 species
UCGCUAAAGGGCUAUAACGACACUUUCUGUCGCUAUAGGUGUUCUUGAGUGUUCUUGGGCCAAACCCAGAACUUCAUACACUGCUUCAAGUAUGCUACUUUGACCGAGUUUAGUUUUCUUUUUAUUCUGUUUCUGGACAAACUAUGAUUUAGAUCUUGUAGUACUAGUGUACAUCUACAAGAUCCAGGAAUAAAAAUGGCAAUAAAGCAUGAAACAACCAAGAUCUAAGCCUCUAAAGAUGUUGUCAGGACUGUUCUUCAUUUUUUGGGUUGCCCAGAAAUGAAGAACAGUUCGACCUGUCCCCUUUUUGCUCCCACAACUUGCUAACCUGUUAAUGUUUAAGUGAUAUUAAGCAUCCAGUAUAUACCUAACAUGAUAAGGAAGAGAUCUAACACAAACAACCAUUAAAUCAUCAACACAAUCAUAAAAUCUAGCCUGGUCAAACUAUGUCAGUCGUCAUGCUCUUAUGUUUUCUGGGUUACCCAGAAAACAGAAAACAUGAUCGACUUGACUAGUUUGACCAGCCAUCCAAAUCAAUCUGUUCAUUACUUAUGUGAUCUUAAGGCAUGAUGAUGUAGUCUAACAAACAUACUACAACUUAGAUGCAAGAACAAACACAUAUCAUAA